UAUGAAGAUUGGGAGGCAGGUAC
rnacentral:sRNA from 1 species